UACGGAGGAUCCAAGCGUUAUCCGGAAUCAUUGGGUUUAAAGGGUCCGUAGGCGGGACAAUAAGUCAGUGGUGAAAGUCUGUGGCUCAACCAUAGAAUUGCCAUUGAAACUGUUGUCCUUGAGUAAUUAUGAAGUGGUUAGAAUAUGUAGUGUAGCGGUGAAAUGCAUAGAUAUUACAUAGAAUACCGAUUGCGAAGGCAGAUCACUAAUAAUUCACUGACGCUGAUGGACGAAAGCGUAGGUAGCGAACAGG
rnacentral:rRNA from 1 species